GUGUCCCCUUUUCCCCUUCCUCCUCCAGCGGCAGGAUGUGAGCCACCGGCAAGGAGGGAUGCCAAUAAGGUGUCCAAUAAGAUAAGUCUUAUAAGUUUAUAAUAUCAGACAGACUGCCAGAUCCUGACAGUGACACAAAGUCUCCAAAGAAGAUUAUGAGGCACUCCAGUUCCUGCACCUGGACCAGUGAGCGAGAUGCUCAGAUGUGAUACCUGCCACCUGCCAGGACCUGGCCGAGACUGUGGACAAAGCUGCUGGACACUGGAAAAUUGAUUGCACCCCUUUUGCCUAGACAAAACAAGGUUUCUGCUUCUGGCAGACAUCGGAGUAUCAGUUGCUGACUACAGGCUGUUCUAAGUAGACUGCGAACCCUGGACUUGCUGUGGAUGUGAACCAGUCCAAUUGAUGUGGACAACCCCUGUCUCUGCAACAAAGUCUGCCAACAGCCACUGAUGGGUUUCCCAUUUCCCAAAUUCCUUUUUUUGCUUUUGACUAGCAUUUCAACCUUCUGGGGUCCCUAACUUCAUCCCAAAGUCAGCAGGAAGUAGCAUGAGAAAGAAUUCGCCACCCAUUUUCCCUGGUUAAAAUGCUAAGUCAGAAGGGACUCCCUUGCAUGGGGGCACUGGAGAGACAGCAAUUCCAUGAUUGGAAUUUCAAAAAAAAAAUGGGGGAAUGAAGGGACCAGGCCCCCAUUUUGGCAGCCAUGACAGUAACACGUGCUUGCUAUGACCUUGCCUUAGUCACUAGAGGUUAGGUGCCUGCUUCAUGACAAGGAACCAAUCAGAAGUUAGCUGGUGGCACUAUGCUUUACGACUCUGGGUGUGCUUUAUGGACAAGAGCACAGCAAUGAUGCGCAGAGCAUAGCAACCACCCUGGGAGGGCCUAUGGGCCAUUACAAUCAAUUGGCCAAUCAACACAGGGCAAGCCCUCCAAGCCUGGAGGCACACCAAUCCUGAGCCUGUGCGUACCCCUAGACACUCCCCUUACGCUGCCCUGCAAGAUCACUCCGCAGCCGGUUCAAGGGGUCUUUGCUAGCCAUCCACCAUGGUGGGUGGGUGAAAGACCCAAGCUAAC
rnacentral:lncRNA from 1 species